CCCGAAGCAUCUUCUCCAGCACUAUUUGCGACGCUCGUCCGGUGGUGGUCCAGGGUCCAGCACUAGUCUCGGCUUUAGUCGUGCGAUGUUGUGGUGCCGUUGCUGGACGAGUGGUUGUUUCUAAGGCUUGCUCUGGUUUGCAAGGAGAGGUCUGCACGACGGCUAACGGAUGCGGUCGACGAUCUUGUUCUUAGCUUGCUCAUCUCUGUUGCAGUUAUGCUCGUAGGUAUCAGAUCAAGGAGGGCAGUGACGGCACCCGACUGAUGUCAGUACCAAGCAGUUGCUGAUGGUUUGGUGGGAUGGAUUUGGGGAUCAGAUCUUUCACGCGCGGAACCAUUUGGUUGCACUAAUGAUGACGUCGAGAUGGUGACAGUGGUUCCCCUCUUGUUCUGUGGCAGCGCGGUCGCGAGGUAUCUCAGCUGCAGCGGUUAUGGUAUCUAGGCGGCUCUUUGGUCUAGUGCAGGGUUUCCUUGGGCUCUUUUAGGCUUCUAUGUAGUUUUGUCUAAUUACAAUAAUUUCUUUUUGGAAGCUAAGCACUUAUGUGCACUCUAUGUAGUAGUAUCAAAGGAGGAGUCCUGUUAUGUCUAAUGAGUGAGUUUAUUGUCUAUGUACCACUAUUGGAUACUAC
rnacentral:lncRNA from 1 species